rnacentral:misc_RNA from 1 species
GUCUAUUGCAUGUCUAUUCAGUACAGCAUGUUUUUAUUUUAAGGUAGUUUUUCAUGAAGAACACGAAAAGGUAAUUUGGGAUUAGUUGUUGUUUUGUACAAUGAGUAUUAUUUAAAUAUUUUUUAAUGUUUUAUUUUUUUCAUAAAUCAUUGAUUCACCUGUGUGGUGUACAUAUGGACUAUUUUUAUCUACUGGUGUAUGCAUUCUAUAAACUCCCCCAGGACCAGUGGAUCUGUGGACACAUCACCGGGAACGAUCUCAUUGUGAAACACAACACUGACACAUCACAUACUGACAGAAAUCCAACCUUUGUUUGAAAACAACAGUCUGUACAAUAAUGCCUUCCCAGAAUGCCAUGCUACAUUGGAGAAUUCUCGAAAGCUGUUGUUCAUCAUGCUGGGCUGAUGUUUAUAAAAUCAGCUACAUAUUUUUGUUACAGUUGCUCAUAUGUUUUGUUUUGCUAAUUGCUAAUAAGUAAUAAAUUAAUGUUGAUUUUUAU